ACACAAGAGACUAGGACAAAUUACAUAACUAUUCUAACAAAUUACAUACAUUCACAUAACGCUUCUACCAAAUAUUAAGGCGUUGCAGCAGAGCCAUUGCAAUUCAAUUCAAUCUCUGCUGGCUGCUUCAGUAUCUGACGGUCUAAUCUCUGCUAUUAACUUGGGUGUGUGAUGGAGUUAUUAGGGUUCAAUAGAGUUAGAGCUUUGCACAAUUCACUUUCCUCUGUACAAUCUUUCUCCUUCUUUUUUUUUGGGGUCAAAGCUACCAAGUGUUGGUUGGGUAGCUUUGGCUAACCCCAACUUGUUCAUUUCAUUCAGCAGAAGUACAAGGAGAAGCUAGUAGCUGGGUAGAGAGUAGCUGUUGGAGGUCUAAAGUGAGGUUAUGGGUUCACGACGAUCAGCAAAACGUCUCCGUGCCUCAGGAGCUGUGUUUAAGUUAAUUUGUGUCUAUUCUAAUUUUGUAAAUUUAUUUGUCUGUUUUAAUUCUAGUAAACUGUUAGCUUAUUUUUAGUCUAGGUGUCUAUCAGAAGCUCAUGUGGUCUAAGUGUGUCUUUAAUUCCUUAUCCAUGAUCAAAGAAGGAACUCCUCAUUAAGCAAGAACUGUAACUAAGAACGGAGCAGUUCAAUUUUGGGUACAGGAAAAACUCUCCUAGAGCAAUCUAUUUUCAUCGAAUUUUUCCAAUUGAUAAGAAAAGCUAGUCUGAAGUCCAAUAAAUUUCAAUGAGUCUACUCAGUCAUUUUGCCAAGUGAGUAAUAAUUUCCAGCUUAUUAUCAUUGGCCUUCAGGUGAUCAUUCAACUAUGUCGUACUACUUGUAAGUCUUGCUUUGUAUCCAGCCUCUUGAGCAAAUUAUGAAUGACACUAUGUUUUGCUUGAUUGUGUUGUCUUGAUCCAUUGUGAAAGGUGGGUUUGCUUGAUUGUGUUGUCUUGAUCCAUUGUGAAAGGUGGGUUUCUAUGAAAACUGAAUGGUAUUUCCACUGGUGCACCACUUUUCCUUCUCCCCUUCUUCUAUUGCUUUCUGCCCCACUUCUGCAACUUAAUCCUUUCUAUAUUUGCGGUAAUUGUUUUGCUGCUUCUUCUUUUUUCUUUUCUUUUUCCCCUCUACACCGUUUAAUGUUUUCUUUGCUUGACCUAAGGUAUUGCCUUCUCCUCCAAACUAGCAGGAAUGAGAAGCCAUUUCCAGCUACUGGGCUUGCACAUUUCUCCCUGCUGUAUUUUUUAGCUAUUCUUGAGCCUUAAGUUAGCUUCAAGAUGGUGAAGAAUUAUACCAGCAAAUGUAACAAUCAAAGUUAAUAAAGUGCUUAAUUAGUACAGUAAUGUUUGACAGUCCAAUGCUGAUACUUAACUUGCUGUCACAGUGAUCCCAAAGUUCUGCUCUUGUCCUUAACUAGCUGAAAUUGAAACCAGAUAUGCAGGAAGGAAGGAUUCACACAUCCUCUCUGUCCUUAACUAGCUGUAACUGUAACGAGAUACGAACUCCAGUUUAGGUGUCAGUGCUACAGGUCUGGGGACAGAAGUAGAGAUUCAGCUCAGUAAAAUCUGUUGUUCGAGUAGACAAAAACAACAACAAAAAAAAACCAGUGAAUUCCUUCUAGUGUUGUUCGAGAAGGAAUUCUAGAAAUUAGUUCAUGAAGAGAUUCACUUAUUGCAAUAUUUAUUUACUACAUGAGUGAUAAAGCAUACGAAAACUUGUGGUGGUUUGUCUUACUUUUGCAAGAAUCUAGAUCUUUCCGUAUGAAACAUCACUAAUCUAUUGGAUACAUGGCAAGCUGUUAACUGAGAUCUCAGUUGAGGGUUCUGAUGUUGAAGUUGUAGAAGUGAAGGUUGACUUUGCUAUACUUAGCCGCUUUGUCUUAGGAAUAAUAAUUCUUUAUAGGAUUAAACGUUUCUCUUGUAGGCGAUCUCUCAUCAUUUGUUCUCCUUAUUGUGUAGGCGAUCUUUUAGCACAUCAGUCAAAUGACAUGGAAGGGUCCAUCUAUCAGUAUAUGGGAAAUAGUACCUUCGCCAGAGUCUCUUGAUAACUCUUCUAAACAUGAAAGUAAUGAAGAGGAAACACCCAGGACAAGUGCAAAGAGAAAGCAGCGUGCUUCAGGCAAGGACAAGAUUUUCCGCAAUCAAGAUCACUCCCCUCGCCGCUAGCCAUGCAAAAAAGCACACCUUCGUGGGCGCCUUAGGAUGACGGUUAUCGUUAGUCAUGUUUUAUCUUGACAAAUUGCUUUAUUCUAGAUUAAAUUCAUUUAGCUUCUACAGUACUGUGUGAUUACCAAGUUGUUUGCCUGGGAGAUUAAUACCUAACCACACUACCACUGUACUGCUUCUACUUGUCAGGUGAGCGAGAAUGUGCAACAUGGAAGUCCCACUUUGGGGCGUAAAGCGCUCCCUACCAAAGGAAACUCUGUACUUAGGGUUCAAACCUCUGACCUCAUGGCAAAGGAUGGGAAGUAUUUACCUCAUGGCUAAGGAUAGGCAGAAGAAGAAAAAACCUAGAAAUGCUGAUCAUCAGCGAAGCAUGAAAGAUUGGAGGCUUCACCUAAAAGCAAGUCAAAAGACACGACAACAAAAUCUGGACAGAAAUCCAAGGAUGAUGGUAAGCUUAAGCACAACUUAAAAGAUGGCACCUCAAAAUCUGGCAGGAGAACUGACGAUACAACCAGCAGUAAAUCUAGGGCCCAAUCUAAAAAGAGCAGUGGCAAAUCUGUUGAUGAUACUGAAAAGCCAUCUGCUCGGUCUAAAGAUGUUAGCAGUAGUACUCCCAAAUCCAAGUCCAAGCAAGAUACCCCGUCAGCGACUGGCAACAAGUCCAAGCAAGAAACAGUUACAGCUGCCGUCAAGUCCAAAAAUAAAACCCCUCAAAAUGGCGGCAAGCCCAGUGCCAAUGGCAUGGAGAAGCUAAAAUCUCGCUCGUCGAAGGUUAAAGGAAGUGGGAACGAGAAGGAAAAAGCAACUAAUUUGGCAGAAGACCCUGAUAGCAGCUCUAAGGGAAAAUUCUCUAGUGCGUCGAAGGAUCGAGAAAAUGAGGCAAAGAGUGGAAAGAAGCGUGGGAGAGGAAAGAACUGAUAAUUUGAUGCACAUCUGUAAUAGUGGAGCUGCUCUGUUAGUGCCUAUGCUAUAUUCUUGGACCUGUUACAGCUCACUGAAGAGGCUAUAGAGCCUAAGUAUGCCUUGUAUGCUAUUUGCUCUCUGGCACAAUCUGGAGUCACAGCUUGCAAAUGUGUCUUAGGUUCUUAGUUAUGUUGGUACUAGUUUUCUGCGUAGUCUGUCAGUAAAGCAUAUUGGUAGCUGUAAUUGGUUAGUUACAGCUUGAGGGGAGUCAAUUCUCAUAACACGUCUGUACUAUUUGCCAGAAUGAACAUCUUUGCCAGUCUAAAGAGUAGAUAUAUUGGUUUAAGUCUACUCACACUUCCUUACUGCA